rnacentral:misc_RNA from 1 species
UCAUUUCGCCCGUCCCCUUGCAAGCCAUCGUCCGCCAUGGGGCCGCCACUCGUAGGGCCGGCGCUUGCGCCGCGCCGUCCACCUUCCGUCGUCAUCCCCGGUCACACCCACCUACCCGCUUCAAUUCUCCCCGCUCUCCUGUUCAAACGAAAUCAGCUACCCACUCUUCGCCCGCCGCCGCCAAGAAGCAAACAACAGCGCCACAGCUCCGAAACCCAGCAUUGCAACCGUCGAGGGCUCCGGAAUUGCCAUGAUUGCAAUCCCAG